rnacentral:rRNA from 1 species
UGUAUUUAUUAGAUAAAAAACCAAUGCCCUUCGGGGCUUUUUGGUGAUUCAUGAUAACUUUACGGAUCGCAUAGCCUUGCGCUGGCGACGGUUCAUUCAAAUUUCUGCCCUAUCAGCUUUCGAUGGUAAGGUAUUGGCUUACCAUGGUUUCAACGGGUAACGGGGAAUUAGGGUUCGAUUCCGGAGAGGGAGCCUGAGAAACGGCUACCACAUCCAAGGAAGGCAGCAGGCGCGCAAAUUACCCAAUCCCGACACGGGGAGGUAGUGACAAUAAAUACUGAUACAGGGCUCUUUUGGGUCUUGUAAUUGGAAUGAGUACAAUUUAAACCUCUUAACGAGGAACAAUUGGAGGGCAAGUCUGGUGCCAGCAGCCGCGGUAAUUCCAGCUCCAAUAGCGUAUAUUAAAGUUGUUGCAGUUAAAAAGCUCGUAGUUGAAACUUGGGCCUGGCUGGCGGGUCCGCCUCACCGCGUGCACUCGUCCGGCCGGGCCUUCCUUCUGAAGAACCUCAUGCCCUUCACUGGGCGUGCUGGGGAACCAGG